UAAAGUGAUGCACCGAAGCUUAGGGUGUGAUCUUCGGAUCACGCGGUAGCGGAGCGUUCCGUAGGCCUGUGAAGCGAUCUGGUAAUGGGUCGUGGAGGUAUCGGAAGUGCGAAUGCAGACAUGAGUAGCGAUAAAGAGGGUGAGAUGCCCUCUCGCCGAAAGACCAAGGGUUCCUGCGCAAGGCUAAUCCGCGCAGGGUGAGCCGGCCCCUAAGACGAGCCCGAAGGG
rnacentral:rRNA from 1 species